rnacentral:rRNA from 1 species
AACGAACGUUAGCGGCGCGCCUAACACAUGCAAGUCGCACGAGAAAGGGCUUCGGCCCCGGUAAAGUGGCGCACGGGUGAGUAACACGUGGGUAAUCUGCCCUCGAGCAGGGGAUAACAUUCCGAAAGGAGUGCUAAUACCGUAUAAGACCACGACCUCGAAAGAGGAUGCGGUCAAAGCUGGCCUCUAUACAUAAGCUAGCACUUGAGGAUGAGCCCGCGGCGCAUCAGGUAGUUGGUGAGGUAAUGGCUCACCAAGCCCAAGACGGGUAGCUGGUCUGAGAGGAUGGCCAGCCACACUGGAACUGAGACACGGUCCAGACUCCUACGGGAGGCAGCAGUGGGGAAUAUUGCGCAAUGGGGGAAACCCUGACGCAGCAACGCCGCGUGAGUGAUGAAGGUCUUCGGAUCGUAAAGCUCUGUCGGCAGGAACGAUGGAUCAGUUGGCUAAUAGCCAAAGGAUUUGACGGUACCUGCAAAGGAAGCACCGGCUAACUCUGUGCCAGCAGCCGCAGUAACAC